UCUCUCUCCCAUGGCUCCCCCUUUAUCAUAGGCGUGACUCAUGGGGGAUGAAGAGUUACACUAUAGACUGUGCAACUCAAUAAUACCAAACCAUUUCUCUUUUUUAAGAAUGAAGAAAAAAUGAUUUUGAUCUCAGCAGCUUGAAGAAGGAGACCAUUUAGGAAGCUUUGUUUUCUGAGGUGAAUGUUGUCUGGCUCGAGGACUCUAUCAUCUUAAUCAAUGUGAAUGAUUAAGGAAUUUACAGUGUUGUCGGACCAGGCUUCAUUCCCCUCAGU